GAUGAACGCUGGCGGCGUGCCUAAUACAUGCAAGUCGAGCGAACAGACGAGGAGCUUGCUCCUCUGACGUUAGCGGCGGACGGGUGAGUAACACGUGGAUAACCUACCUAUAAGACUGGGAUAACUUCGGGAAACCGGAGCUAAUACCGGAUAAUAUAUUGAACCGCAAGGUUCAAUAGUGAAAGACGGUUUUGCUGUCACUUAUAGAUGGAUCCGCGCCGCAUUAGCUAGUUGGUAAGGUAACGGCUUACCAAGGCAACGAUGCGUAGCCGACCUGAGAGGGUGAUCGGCCACACUGGAACUGAGACACGGUCCAGACUCCUACGGGAGGCAGCAGUAGGGAAUCUUCCGCAAUGGGCGAAAGCCUGACGGAGCAACGCCGCGUGAGUGAUGAAGGUCUUCGGAUCGUAAAACUCUGUUAUUAGGGAAGAACAAAUGUGUAAGUAACUAUGCACGUCUUGACGGUACCUAAUCAGAAAGCCACGGCUAACUACGUG
rnacentral:rRNA from 1 species